rnacentral:rRNA from 1 species
UACGGAGGGUGCGAGCGUUGUCCGGAAUCAUUGGGCGUAAAGGGCGCGUAGGUGGCCCGGUCAGUCCGUGGUGAAAGCGCAGGGCUCAACCCCGCGUCGGCCAUGGAUACUGCUGGGCUGGAGCACUGUAGAGGCAGGCGGAAUUCCGGGUGUAGCGGUGGAAUGCGUAGAGAUCCGGAAGAACACCGGUGGCGAAGGCGGCCUGCUGGGCAGUUGCUGACACUGAGGAGCGAAAGCGUGGGGAGCAAACAGG